GUAAUGUCUAUUUUCGAAGUGCCUGAUGCUUAUGCUCUAAGUAUCAGUCUUUUCGUCAAUGUUUUCUACGAGAUGGGAAUCUGAUCAAGGAAAAUUCUCAAAACGCGGAGAGUGUGUCACGAUCGGCAUACUUCAAAUCCGAUGGACCAAUGAUGGAGAUAAAGAUGUGGCGGCCUUGGUGACAAUGUAUAUCGCCGAAGUGCCCAAUGAGUCAUCGAUAUCCCAACGGUUCUUCCACCGAAUGUUCUAGAAGCGUGG
rnacentral:misc_RNA from 1 species